GCUACGGGCGGCAGCAGUGGGGAAUAUUGCACAAUGGGGGAAACCCUGAUGCAGCAACGCCGCGUGAGUGAAGAAGUAUUUCGAUAUGUAAAGCUCUAUCAGCAGGGAAGAAGAUGACGGUACCUGAGUAAGAAGCCCCGGCUAACUACGUGCCAGCAGCCGCGGUAAUACGUAGGGGGCAAGCGUUAUCCGGAUUUACUGGGUGUAAAGGGAGCGUAGACGGCAUAGAAAGGCUGAAGUGAAAGCCAAAGGCUCAACCAUGGGACUGCUUUGGAAACUGGGAAGCUAGAGUGCUGGGGAGGUCAGCGGACUUCCUAGUGUAGCGGUGAAAUGCGUCGAUAUUAGGAAGAACACCAGUGGCGCCGGCGUCUUACUGGACAGUAACUGACGUUGAGGCUCGAAAGCGUGGGGAGCAAACAGGAUUAGAUACCCCAGUAGUC
rnacentral:rRNA from 1 species